UUAAUGAUAAAAUAAAUCGCUCGUAUAAACCCUGAAUAUGGCAGGGUGUCUCUACCGGAAACCUUAAAAUUCCGUCUAUGAGUGAAUUUAAUAUAGUC
rfam:Clostridium ventriculi strain 2789STDY5834858 genome assembly, contig: SCcontig000007